UGCCAUUUUUCAAAUGGAGUGUGAGCUGGAUUGAAAUGAACAGGAGAAGAGCAGUCUGGAAACAUGCAGUGCUUCUUAAUCAUCCUAAACAUCUUUUUGAAACAAGAAACUCUUCAUUUUACCAUCAUUAUUCUUCUGGUGAUGCUGUAUGACUUUGUCAUGAGACAAUAUGGUCUUGAAGAACCGUCAUGGAUCCCCACAGAGGACAUUUAAGGCUACAAUGAAUCAUCUGUGAAAAGGAAAUGUUGCACUGUGGAAGGAAUAACUGUACAAUCAUCUACAAACAGAAGCAUCUGGAAGAAUGAAUCAAUUAUAAAGAAUCCCUUUGACUGUAACCCUGCACAGGACACAGUUUAUGAUAAAGGUUCUGUCCACCCUCAUGCUCAUCAUUCUAUAACCAGGACCUUUUUUCAAAGUGAAGAAAUUAUCCCCUUCCCAAACUUCCAAGUACAAACUUUUCAAGAAAAGCAAACAAACAUGACAGAGGAGAAAAGUAAUGGCUUCUUCAACUUCUUUAAUCACUGUGCUAUGGACUACUUACUUCUC